GACGAACGCUGGCGGCGUGCCUAAUACAUGCAAGUAGAACGCUGAAGGAGGAGCUUGCUUCUCUGGAUGAGUUGCGAACGGGUGAGUAACGCGUAGGUAACCUGCCUGGUAGCGGGGGAUAACUAUUGGAAACGAUAGCUAAUACCGCAUAAUAGUAGAUGUUGCAUGACAUUUGCUUAAAAGGUGCAAUUGCAUCACUACCAGAUGGACCUGCGUUGUUUUAGCUAGUUGGUGGGGUAACGGCUCACCAAGGCGACGAUACAUAGCCGACCUGAGAGGGUGAUCGGCCACACUGGGAAUGAGACAAGGCCCAGACUCCUACGGGAGGCAGCAGUAGGGAAUCUUCGGCAAUGGACGGAAGUCUGACCGAGCAACGCCGCGUGAGUGAAGAAGGUUUUCGGAUCGUAAAGCUCUGUUGUAAGAGAAGAACGAGUGUGAGAGUGGAAAGUUCACACUGUGACGGUAUCUGAACAGAAAGGGACGGCUAACUACGUG
rnacentral:rRNA from 1 species